rnacentral:rRNA from 1 species
AAGCGCUUGCAAUCAGACUUGCACUUGGUGUUCAUCAGGGUCUCGUACCCUGUGUACUUCAUCAAGUUCAGGCCAGCAUCAGUUUGAGUGGUUAGAUAAAGGCUUUGGGAAUGUGGCUCCUCCGGGAGUGUUAUAGCCCAUUGCAUAAUACCCUGGGGCGGACUGAGGUUCGCGCAUUCGUGCAAGGAUGCUGGCGUAAUGGU